rnacentral:tRNA from 1 species
CAAGGAAUAUUUUAAGUAGAAUUUCAGCUUUGGGUGUUGAUGGUGGAGCUAGAGCUUCUUCCUUGAU